rnacentral:rRNA from 1 species
AGAGUUUGAUCAUGGCUCAGAUUGAACGCUGGCGGUAUGCUUAACACAUGCAAGUCGAACGGUAGCAGGCCUUCGGGCGCUGACGAGUGGCGGACGGGUGAGUAACGCGUAGGAAUCUGCCUCAUAGUGGGGGACAACGUGUGGAAACGCACGCUAAUACCGCAUACGCCCUACGGGGGAAAGCGGGGGAUCUUCGGACCUCGCGCUAUGAGAUGAGCCUGCGUUGGAUUAGCUAGUUGGUAGGGUAAAGGCCUACCAAGGCGACGAUCCAUAGCUGGUCUGAGAGGACGAUCAGCCACACUGGGACUGAGACACGGCCCAGACUCCUACGGGAGGCAGCAGUGGGGAAUAUUGGACAAUGGGCGCAAGCCUGAUCCAGCAAUACCGCGUGUGUGAAGAAGGCCUUAGGGUUGUAAAGCACUUUCAAUGGGGAGGAAAACCUGCCGGUCAAUACCCGGUAGCUUGACAUUACCUUUAGAAGAAGCACCGGCUAACUCCGUGCCAGCAGCCGCGGUAAUACGGAGGGUGCGAGCGUUAAUCGGAAUUACUGGGCGUAAAGCGUGCGUAGGCGGUCCGUUAAGUCAGAUGUGAAAGCCCCGGGCUCAACCUGGGAACUGCAUUUGAAACUGGCGGACUAGAGUUUAGUAGAGGGGAGUGGAAUUUCAGGUGUAGCGGUGAAAUGCGUAGAUAUCUGAAGGAACACCAGUGGCGAAGGCGACUCCCUGGACUAGAACUGACGCUGAGGUACGAAAGCGUGGGUAGCAAACAGGAUUAGAUACCCUGGUAGUCCACGCCGUAAACGAUGUCAACUAGCCGUUGGCCCUAUUUACAGGGUAGUGGCGCAGCUAACGCAUUAAGUUGACCGCCUGGGGAGUACGGCCGCAAGGUUAAAACUCAAAUGAAUUGACGGGGGCCCGCACAAGCGGUGGAGCAUGUGGUUUAAUUCGAUGCAACGCGAAGAACCUUACCUACCCUUGACAUCCAGAGAAUCUGUUAGAGAUAGUAGAGUGCCUUCGGGAGCUCUGAGACAGGUGCUGCGUGGCUGUCGUCAGCUCGUGUCGUGAGAUGUUGGGUUAAGUCCCGUAACGAGCGCAACCCUUGUCCUUAGUUGCCAGCGGGUCAAGCCGGGAACUCUAGGGAGACUGCCGGUGAUAAACCGGAGGAAGGUGGGGACGACGUCAAGUCAUCAUGGCCCUUAUGGGUAGGGCUACACACGUGCUACAAUGGCCGGUACAGAGGGCUGCGAACUUGCGAAAGUAAGCGAAUCCCAGAAAGCCGGUCUUAGUCCGGAUUGGAGUCUGCAACUCGACUCCAUGAAGUCGGAAUCGCUAGUAAUCGCGAAUCAGAAUGUCGCGGUGAAUACGUUCCCGGGCCUUGUACACACCGCCCGUCACACCAUGGGAGUGGGUUGCAAAAGAAGUGGGUAGUCUAACCUUCGGGAGGGCGCUCACCACUUUGUGAUUCAUGACUGGGGUGAAGUCGUAACAAGGUA